UCAUCAAAUAACAGGACAGGAGGCCGAUUUCCCCAUGUCCUAAUUCUCAGCCACAUGGAAUGUCCAGUACAGUACUGCAGCAAACUUAAAAAAACUUGCCCAACUGGUUCUCAAUGACUUCGAGGGGUUGAGUACUAUGGCACAUUCUGGCAAAAUUCAGAUCCUGCAAGAAGAUGAUUAUUUAGAAGAAAAUGCAUCCCACACUGGAAUUAUCGAUCAGCGACUGUAGCAAGAUUGAAGUGAUAUGGAUCCAGUGAAAGUCACAAAGUCUGAUACAUAGAGAACCGCUUUCUCUUCAAGUGUGCCUCCUUGGGACAUCAAAUGUAUCUAAAACAGCUUGCUGACCUCUCACACUGUCUCUGCAGUUUCUGGACAUGGCUGAGCUCUCAUAUUUAAUGAAUGAGCCAAACUCCAUUAUUAUA